CCAUGUGUCUUUUCAUCAGGUUGAUCAUAUUCAAAAUUUCCUACGUUAUCUUGACCACUCGAGUCCUUAUGAACGUUGAAAGAGAUUUUUAUAGGAAGUUCAGUAUCUUCCUCGGUUGAUAAAAGUAAACUAUAAUCUGAAGAAGGACCUGUAAGGAGAAGUUUGUUCCGAAGAAGGCAACCGAAAAGUCAAUGUUCCAAACGCAGUAGGCAAUAACAUAAUAGUUAUUAGUUGCAAACCAGUUCUCAGUUGAGCUUCGUGUAACAACAAAUUUGUAAUACUUGGGAUGAGCAGAAGUCCGAAAGAGACUGCAACGUUUCUCAACAUCAAGGCUACAAGAAGCUUUCUUCUGAAGUACUUCCUCAAAAUAUAGUCACUCAGUAAUGUGACAAAACUGGCGCCUAUGCCCAUUACUGCACCUGCACUACUGUUGGCUAAAUAAGCACCAACUCCACCAGUUGCAAGAUAUCCAGAUGCUAUGAUUCCAAUUAUCAGGAGAAGCACUCCUAUUAUGCCUACCAAACGUGGAAUUGACGCCAUACUCACAACCAUCUUUGUCCAAGGAUCUAGAAAGAAGUUAUAAGAAAUUGGUAAUAAUUAUUACUUACCUGGACUAAAAAUACUCCACAAAGAACAAUCCAUGCGUAACCACCAUCAGGAACCGUGGGUCCUAGCUCCGGGAAUGACGUGACGACUUCAUCGAGACGAAGACGUUUAGUUGAGGACAUUAUUUAUUAUAUAAAAACUAAAUAAUUUGAUCAAGUGUAUUUGAAUUUACAAGAACAAUUUUGUCGCAUACUGGAGACAUUCAGGUGAUUCUGAAAUCUAUUAUCUAAUCUUAUUGAAGAUGCCAAUGGUCUGAUAGCCAAUGAUAAGGAAUAGCAAUUCUAAGAAUAUUAUGUAUGUACAUAUAUUUUUUAUUGAAGGCAGACAAUUGACCAAUGGCUAAACAAGCAGGGAGAUUUGAUAAGAGGAGUGAAUACGCAUAUAAAUAUAAAUAUAUAACAUUUAUUCGACGCUAAACAUAUUCGAGACAAUAACAUUAUCAAAAUUGCAUGUUCUUUGCUUAUAAUUAUGAAGUCAACAAGUGUUAAUGUCGCAACAAUAGCUUAUAAAAUAACAUAUUCUAUGA